rnacentral:sRNA from 1 species
CCAUACCAGAUUCUGUGGCCUGCAGGUGACAUGCUGCCUAAGAGAAGCAGGAGAACAGUCAGCAAAAGCAUUGGUCCCACCUGCCCCUUUGCUGGAAGCUGUGAAGUCAGCAAGACUCAGAGGCGCCACUGCCCAGCCUGCAGGUUGCAGAAGUGCUUAGAUGCUGGCAUGAGGAAAGACACCUCCAGCUCAUCUGUUCAUCCAUCACCAGCCCUUGCCCACCCUGGCCCCUGUGCUGCCUCUGGUCACACACUUCGCAGACAUCAACACUUUCAUGGUACUGCAAGUCAUCAAGUUUACUAAGGACCUGCCCGUCUUCCGUUCCCUGCCCAUUGAAGACCAGAUCUCCCUUCUCAAGGGAGCAGCUGUGGAAAUCUGUCACAUCGUACUCAAUACCACUUUCUGUCUCCAAACACAAAACUUCCUCUGCGGGCCUCUUCGCUACACAAUUGAAGAUGGAGCCCAUGGUGAGAUGGUGCUAGAGCAAUAGGGGGCAUGUGUCCUCAUGGUACAGUAUGUGGUCAGGUGACCUAGA